AGCUUUGCGCAGUGGCAGUAUCGUAGCCAGUGAGGUUUAUCUGAGGCGCGAUUAUUGCUAAUAGAACUGCUACUUGUUAAUUAGCAGUAUUUUGCCAACAGACUGUCAUGAAAUUAACUCAACAUCUGAUUUGAUCAUUAAAGAAAAUUUUUUAAAGUUUAUAAAAAU
ensembl:snRNA U4 U4 spliceosomal RNA